rnacentral:rRNA from 1 species
UACGGAGGAUCCAAGCGUUAUCCGGAUUUAUUGGGUUUAAAGGGCGCGUAGGCGGCCUAUUAAGUCAGGGGUGAAAGACGGUAGCUUAACUAUCGCAGUGCCUUUGAUACUGAUGGGCUUGAAUGGACUAGAGGUAGGCGGAAUGUGACAAGUAGCGGUGAAAUGCAUAGAUAUGUCACAGAACACCAAUUGCGAAGGCAGCUUACUAUGGUUUAAUUGACGCUGAGGCACGAAAGCGUGGGGAGCAAACAGG